rnacentral:lncRNA from 12 species
UGGGUGCUUAGGAAAAAUUCCCUUCUAUUCUGCAUGUGAAAAGGCUUUUGGGAGGAAUCCUUAAAAACCAGGAUCCUAUUUACUCAGAGUUGGUGUUAGUCUGAAAAGGCAUAUGUAAGUUCCUAUAAAAACAAUUUAACUUAGUAACAAUAGUGUUCUGGGGAAAAGGGUUGCCCUCUCCUCCUUUCUGAACUGGUGCAUAAUUGAGUAAGACCCUUCCCUUCCAGCUCCUCUUCAUGAAAAUGAGCUCUGCAUCUAAUUGUUUUCCUUAGGACAGAUAAUCUGGAUCUGAAUGAAAAGUGUCACAAAAGUAGAACAGAAAAACCGGUAACAAUUACUCAUUCACAAUUUUGUUUCCCUUUUGAUGGAAAGACGGGAGGCUGGAAAGACAGCGGGCACAAAAACUGAUCUCUUAAGAUAUGUGAAUGGUCUCCUUCAGCUUCCUCUCUUCACUUCCACAAAGAAUAUCCCAC